UACAGAGGGUGCAAGCGUUGUUCGGAAUUAUUGGGCGUAAAGGGCGCGUAGGCGUGCGGUAAGUCUGUAGUGAAAUCUCUGGGCUCAACUCGAGAGUCUGCUGCAGAAACUGCCGUGCUUGAGUGUGGGAGAGGUGAGUGGAAUUCCCGGUGUAGCGGUGAAAUGCGUAGAGUAUCGGGAGGAACACCUGUGGCGAAAGCGGCUCACUGGACCACAACUGA
rnacentral:rRNA from 1 species